GUGGGGAAUAUUGGACAAUGGGCGAAAGCCUGAUCCAGCCAUGCCGCGUGUGUGAAGAAGGUCUUCGGAUUGUAAAGCACUUUAAGUUGGGAGGAAGGGCAGUAACCUAAUACGUUAUUGUUUUGACGUUACCGACAGAAUAAGCACCGGCUAACUUCGUGCCAGCAGCCGCGGUAAUACGAAGGGUGCAAGCGUUAAUCGGAAUUACUGGGCGUAAAGCGCGCGUAGGUGGUUCAGUAAGUUGGAAGUGAAAUCCCCGGGCUCAACCUGGUAACUGCUUUCAAAACUGCGUAGCUAGAGUACGGUAGAGGGUGGUGGAAUUUCCUGUGUAGCGGUGAAAUGCGUAGAUAUAGGAAGGAACACCAGUGGCGAAGGCGACCACCUGGACUGAUACUGACACUGAGGUGCGAAAGCGUGGGGAGCAAACAGGAUUAGAAACCCCAGUAGUCC
rnacentral:rRNA from 1 species